UGGGGAAUUUUGGACAAUGGGCGAAAGCCUGAUCCAGCAAUGCCGCGUGUGUGAAGAAGGCCUUCGGGUUGUAAAGCACUUUUGUCCGGAAAGAAAUCCUUGGCUCUAAUACAGUCGGGGGAUGACGGUACCGGAAGAAUAAGCACCGGCUAACUACGUGCCAGCAGCCGCGGUAAUACGUAGGGUGCAAGCGUUAAUCGGAAUUACUGGGCGUAAAGCGUGCGCAGGCGGUUUGCUAAGACCGAUGUGAAAUCCCCGGGCUCAACCUGGGAACUGCAUUGGUGACUGGCAGGCUAGAGUAUGGCAGAGGGGGGUAGAAUUCCACGUGUAGCAGCGAAAUGCGUAGAGAUGUGGAGGAAUACCGAUGGCGAAGGCAGCCCCCUGGGCCAAUACUGACGCUCAUGCACGAAAGCGUGGGGAGCAAACAGGAUUAGAUACCCUGGUAGUCCACGCCCUAAACGAUGUCAACUAGUUGUUGGGGAUUCAUUUCCUUAGUAACGUAGCUAACGCGUGAAGUUGACCGCCUGGGGAGUACGGUCGCAAGAUU
rnacentral:rRNA from 1 species